UGAUCAUGCUGAGGAUCGAACCCAGAAUCUUCUGAUUCGUAGUCAGACGCCUUGCCAUUGGGCCACACGACC
rnacentral:tRNA from 1 species